UUUUAGCACCAGGCAUGCCCUAGCUCUAUCCCCUUCUCGCUACCGUGCUCCGUUGUCCAUUCUUCUUGUUCGAAGUUCAUGGAUGGUCUCUAUUGGUUGUCUCUGGAAUCAUCUUCCCUCAUUCUCACCUUCCUCUUGUUCUGUCUUCUAGUUGGUUCCUGUGUCUCACCGGAAUCUUUUUCCGUCAGUCUCGCCUUCCUCUUAUUCUAUCUUGGAGCUAAUUCGUGGGUUUCCAUUGGGUCUCACUGGAAUUCUCUUCCCUCAGUCCCUCCUCCCUCUUGCCUUCGUAUUGUUCCAUUUUCAAGCUGGUCCAUGGGUCUCUGAUGGGUCACCCCUUCUUCUUUGUUCUACUCUCUUCCCUAUCAACAGCAAUUGGUUUCAAGCUUUGGGCCUUUUCCUUCCUUGACUUGAAGCCUAUCAAGUUGAGCAUUGAGGAGCAACCUUGGUGGCUGUGACACAUUAUGUUUCUUCUUAUUAGGAUCUACUAUUGUAAAACUUGAGAAAUCUGCUGGGCAAGCUGAGAAGUCUUUGAAAAGGAGGAGGAAGAAUCAAUACAGGGGAAUCUGCCAAUGUCCAUAUGGUACUUAAUUAUCUUUUGAUAAAUGAAUAUCUAAUAUUCUUCAAGUCAAAAAAGAACAAAAAUGUGGUAUGCAAAUAUUCCAAUGCGAUAUUGCAAGGGAAGUUGAUUGGUGUGCCUCGUGGAUUAUGCUUCUAAGGGUUAAAGGAUCUCUAGGUUGAAGCAGUGCUCUUCCCCCAUGAAGUGAAGAAAAGAUUGUAGCCAAAUGACUAUUCUCUUCAGUAUAUGGUGUUUUGUUAACUAUUUAUUUGGUUUAUUUGGUUUAACUGUACGUAUAUGCUAUGCACUUGUUUGUAUUUAAUAUUACAUAAAGCUGGUUGUAUAUAAUAGCAGCUUCUUGAGUGGGAGGUUAAUAUUUUUUUUUUUUUGAAAAAAAAGGCCACCUACAGCUUCUGUU